rnacentral:rRNA from 1 species
AUGUUCCUUGGAACAGGACGUCACAGAGGGUGAGAAUCCCGUGCGAUGAGAUGCCCAAUUCUAUGUAAAGUGCUUUCGAAGAGUCGAGUUGUUUGGGAAUGCAGCUCUAAGUGGGUGGUAAAUUCCAUCUAAAGCUAAAUAUUGGCGAGAGACCGAUAGCGAACAAGUACAGUGAUGGAAAGAUGAAAAGAACUUUGAAAAGAGAGUGAAAAAGUACGUGAAAUUGUUGAAAGGGAAGGGCUUGAGAUCAGACUUGGUAUUUUGCGAUCCUUUCCUUCUUGGUUGGGUUCCUCGCAGCUUACUGGGCCAGCAUCGGUUUGGAUGGUAGGAUAAUGACUAAGGAAUGUGGCUCUACUUCGGUGGAGUGUUAUAGCCUUGGUUGAUACUGCCUGUCUAGACCGAGGACUGCGUCUUUUGACUAGGAUGUUGGCAUAAUGAUCUUAAGCCACCCGUCUUG